rnacentral:tRNA from 2 species
GCCGAAGUAGCUCAGCUGGUAGAGCUCCUGAUUUGUAAUCAGGCGGUCGGGGGUUCGAGUCCCUUCUUCGGCU